rnacentral:lncRNA from 1 species
UGGUAAGAAACAUACUUUCAUUACUGAUACUGCCAAGACGUGUAAAUAUUUGCUGGACCUCUGCUCUGACCAGCACAGAUUUAAUGCGCAGAUGAGCUCUGGGCAUUUUUCCCAGGUUUUAUCAGAGGAUAAUCAGUUCAUGCAAAUGUUCAUAUCAGAUUCUGCAAAUGUGCCCCAACGUGAGUGUCUCCCUCUGAUUCAGAGAUCGUCCUGCUCGGAAAAUAUGUUGCUUGGAUCUCAUCUGGAAAACACAUCUGGAAAGCUGCUGGGCAAACCAUGUGAUAAUUCCAAUGUGGAAAAUGGUCAUAGGCUUGGAGAUGAAGGCAAACAAGACAGCCCUUCUUUUGGAUGGUCACAGUCAGAGACAUGUUCUUAUAUAACUGAAAACCAAAG